UAGCCAUAUUUUGUUCUUUUAUUCUGAAAGAAUAAUUUAGAAAUACAGAACUACGAUAAAAGAAAUAAAAAGAUUAAAACCAUUUCCUUUUCGGGCUAAAUAUUUUGGACUUAUAGUACUAACAGUCAUAGAAGGGCUAAAAAUACAUUACCAAACUCUUUAUCGAAAACCUAGUUAUUAUAUUAUAACCUGCAGUUCUUAAGCUUCUUCUUUUUUUUUUUUUUUUUUCCGCCUUACACCCCAUAUAGUUGCCUAGAAAAAUAGAGAAACAAAAAUGGACAGGAAAAAAAAAAAAGGAAAGAAGAAGAACACACACAAACUCACACACCAAAAUCGAAGGCUUCUGCUUGAAGGGAAGAUUUGGAAAUUGGAACUGUGGUAGAAACCAAAGCCUACACGCCCUAAUUCUCAGCACUUGCUGUGACAUCAAGCUCCCCGAACCUUCUGAAUUUGUCGAAAAUGCUUUUGAGCCAAAACAUUACUUUCAGUUGCAGCGUCUUUUUUCUUGUCUUCUGACACGGUUUCGGCUCCAUCUGGGCUCUCAGAUUUGAUUAGAAGUGAAAUAAUAUCAAGAAUACAUCCCAGAAGGGGAACUGAAGAACACGUAGAUGCAGUUUGAUUUGUAUUCAUGGUUUAUGUUAAGCUGAUCAAAUUUGGUGUAUGUGCAAGAGUAUUUUUGGUUAUUGAAGAUGAU
rnacentral:lncRNA from 1 species